rnacentral:rRNA from 1 species
UGGGUAACCUGCCUCAAAGAGGGGAAUAGCCUCCCGAAGGGGAGAUUAAUACCGCAUAAUAUGUUUAAGUCGCAUGACUUUAACGUCAAAGGAUUUUCUUUUAGAACUUCCACUUUGAGAUGGACCCGCGGCGCAUUAGCUAGUUGGUGAGGUAACGGUUCACCAAGGCAACGAUGCGUAGCCGACCUGAGAGGGUGAUCGGCCACAUUGGAACUGAGACACGGUCCAGACUCCGUACGGGAGGNAGCG